CGAUAGCGUAUAUUUAAGUUGUUGCAGUUAAAAAGCUCGUAGUCGGAUUUUGGCUGAGAACGAUCGGUCCGCCGUUAGGUGUGCACUGAUUGGUCUCAGCUUCCUGGUGAGGAGGUGUGCUUCACGGCCACUUAGUCACCGUGGUUACUUUGAAAAAAUUAGAGUGUUCAAAGCGGGCUUACGCUUGAAUAUAUUAGCAUGGAAUAACACCAUAGGACUCCUGUCCUAUUUCGUUGGUCACGGGACGGGAGUAAUGAUUAAGAGGAACAGUUGGGGGCAUUCGUAUUUCAUUGUCAGAGGUGAAAUUCUUGGAUUUAUGAAAGACGAACUUCUGCGAAAGCAUUUGCCAAGGAUGUUUUCAUUGA
rnacentral:rRNA from 1 species